UUUCCCCAUUUGAUGCUAUUUAGUUCUUGUAAGUACUGUAAGCUAAAUCUUGCCGUCUCUGCUCCUGAAAUUUUCUUGCCUUCGUGGAUCCAUUUGUUUCUAGCCAACCAGAUAGCCCAUAUGGCGCAGAAGAAGGAUCGACAAAUAUCAGUGCUGUUGUUGUGCACAGUCUAGGUAAACCAUUCCAUGAAUUCCAUAUUUGCUACUCUUUCAGGCCAGUCAAAUUGUAAGCUAUUCCAUGUUUCCUUUGCAGCAUCGCAUUCUCGAAAGACAUGGUCUCUGUUCUCUACACCCUGCUGACAUCUCGGGCAUAUUGCAUCAUUAGUUAGUCUUUUAAUGCGUAGAUUUGAUAGAGUAGGAAGGUAGUUUAGAGUGACUCUUCAGGCUGUAAUUUUCAUUUUUGAGGGGAAGUCACUAUUCCAUAAUUUUUUGUAGUAUUCCCUAUUUCCAUUUGGGUUGUAUCUAUUACUAUUGAUGGGAUUGCCAUGUAAUAGUAGUCUGUGACUCUUCAGGCUGUAAUUUUCAUUUUUGAGGGGAAGUCACUAUUCCAUAAUUUUUUGUAGUAUUCCCUAUUUCCAUUUGGGUUGUAUCUAUUACUAUUGAUAGGAUUGCCAUGUAAUAGUAGUCUGUACCCACUUCUGACUGCAUAUUCACCUGUUGGUUCGCCUCUCCAAGCCUUAAAGUCAUCCUAUGAGCUGAAAGCAAGAAGGAUUUGGAGUAUUCUCUGAGCAUCUUCUGCGGAGAAGAUUUUCAUCCUUCGGAGCCCAGACAUCCUCUUCAAUACUAAUGUUCCAACCAUUUCCCACCCUUCAACACAUUCCCAUCCGCAAAAAGCCUUUCGUGGCCUAUAUACUUUUCCAAGUAUAUGAAGAUACUUCUUAAUUGCGCUUGCAGACUAUUCAGGUUGUAUGACUUUCUCGUCCAAACUGAACAAAUCAGCGUCAGAUUUUUUGAUGGAGUCACUAGCGAACUUUUCACUGUUAAUUAAAUUAACUCUUCUUCAAGAAGAGUGAUCUCGCUUCUAUUACCCAUUGCAUCAAAAUCACCGCUCUUCUUCUUCCCAACCACAAUAUUCACUAUUUCUUUGGGAAACCUAAGAGAGCACUCUUGACUCAGUCACUGAUGCAGUCGCUGACAGCACCAAAAAUAUCCUAUUCCCUAUAAAAUAAUGAAAAAGAACAAAAAAGGGGAAGUAGGGUCAAAUCCUUAGGGAUCGGAUUAUACGAAUGCUUGUUUUUCGAAAUCCUCGGCAGAAUCGUGCCCAAGAAAACCUGCGUGACAGAAAAAAAAAUAGAGUUAAAGAUUUGAUUUAGAAAAAAUAAAAAAACAGAAUCUAAACUUGACUGAAAUUGUGAUUACAAAAAUAAUAAAAAUAAUAAAAAGAGUUGAAGGAAAAGAAAUUCUUAUUGGUAGAUUCCAGCCUCCAGUUGUCUCAUUUCUACUUGGGUUCGAUCCUUGGCUUUUAAAUGACCCUUCUCAACUCAAGUAAGCAGUUAUAGUGGAAGAGGACACCUACGACCACUAGUUCUAAAGAUUAGACUUUCGAUUUUUAGGGAACCUGACUUUAGCCAGUAAUCUAUGCUAGAUCAACGCUUCUCAAUGGCGAAUCUCACGCCAUUUCGUCUCUUUGGCUCGCCAACCUCUGACGCAGUAAGUUAACGAACUGACUAUGCAAUCCUUCUAAAACAUACAAAGCGACCACCUUUGCAUAUGUUGAAAAGCUUACUUCUUAAGGGCGAUGGACAGAAGUGUCAGCCCAUAGUGUGAAGAAACGAUGAAUACUUGGCGAGAAGGUUAAGUACGAAUUCUAGGCGUCAAGAACCCUUUUUGGGGAUUAUUGACAACUUUCGGCUAGAUAGGUUUUAGUGGCUCAUGAUAAUGGUGGAAAAAGAAAUAAAUAUAAAAAUAGAAAAGGGAAUUUUAUUGAAAGAAAAUAUGAAGCAACAAAAGCCUAGACUUUCAGGGCGAGAGUGUUUACAGUAAAAGAUGAACACCAAAUAGAGUCACUUCACCCCCUAUUUAUAGUGCUAGGGAGAUAGUCUAAUUUAACUUAAAUUCUAAAAAGAUAAAUACAUUUAAUUAAAGAUAACUAAAGAUAAUUACAAUAAAAUCCUAAAAUUAAAUAAUCCUAAUAAUUAUCUUAAUAGUAAUUAUCCUAAUAUAAAUAAAAUGGAGUCUUAUAAAGUAAAAUCUUUUCUUUUUGCGUUUUUAGUACUUGUGUCUUCCAUGCUCACAUUUUUGGCACAAUCUUUUUCCUGUGUCGCAUAUCAGCCCAUUAUGUCUCCAAAUUCGCACUUUUGUCCCUUAAUUUUGCUUUUUGCCUCCAAAUCAGUCUCUAAUCGAUAAAAAGACAUAAAUAGCUCAAAUUAGUAGGAUCAAGCUCAGAAUAAACACAUGAUUAAUACAUAAAAAUACGUUAUUCUAGAGCAUUAUCAGUCACAUAUAAAAAUUUUAACUUUGGAUGAUGAAUGAUAUUUUUGUUUCAAAUGUAAUUGGAGUUUUCUUAAAACAAACAUCCCUUUUGAAACUUUAAUCUAAAUAUAUGUAAUAUUUUAAUUUGUUAGGUUUA